rnacentral:tRNA from 1 species
GGGAUAAUAGUUAAAAAAUAACAUUUGAUUUGCAUUCAAAAAUUAUUAUAAAUAAAUAAUCUAUCUUA